GGAGAGCAUUGGAGACACAGGUUCGGGAAAUACACUCGCAGUAGAAGUCAUUUCAACAACCUUUGGAAAAUCGGUCAUUUCCACGAGUUAUGCUGUUACAACUAAAGCUGGAGCUGCUAGCUCGAAGCAAGCAAGUACGACGCAAAAGGCAGGAGCUAUGUUAGCAGCGUCGACUACUUCAAAGGCAGGUGCAACGCAGUCAGCUACGAAAGCUGGGUCGACCACAACAGCUAGUGCGACAGAGAAGACAACAGCUGGAGCAACAACUACUACAAUCAAACUCGGCAAUCAAAUCCAAACUACAACCACGGCGAAAAUUAAUCCAUACAUGACAACGGCUUCUACCAUUUUGACCGCAAUAGUAAAAACAUCUCUGACCACGACCACGAUGAAUCAAAUCACGUCAACAGCACCAACAACAACUUCAACAACGAGGACGCCUUGUAUUUUACACAGUUGCUCUGCAAUUGUGAGUCACCGAUUUUAACACACCUCUUUCUAUUUUUCAAUAUUUUAUUAAUCUUGAAUUUGGACUUCUCUUAAAAAAGUAUUUUGUUGUUGUAAUGAGAAGUAAGCAUUGACAUGGAUUAUUAUAAAAAAAACUUCAUAAUAUAUAAAAUCUUUGUCAACACUAAAUCGAAAAUUUGAUGAGGGUUUUAUUAUUGAUUACAGUCACAGAAUUUAAAUGCUGAUGGAAUUGUGGACACUUCUAAACUUACAAACGUAUUAUUCCAACAAGCGUGUGGUCAACUAUAUGUCUUUGACCAGAACUUGCGCAAUUGGUCGGACGCCUCCAGCUUCUGCUGCUCGCUGAGCAUGAAAAUGCUG